AUGGCAGAGCUGUACAAAAACCCUUCCAGCCUUGCUGCAGCUGAGGGAGCUAUCCACAAUGCCUCCAGGAUCUCUUUCUUGAGUGGUGCUGCGCUGGGGGACUCGGUCCAGUCCAGGGAACCCCACCUCUCUGGAAGAGAAGGGGACGCUGUGACCCUCACUUGUUCCUAUGAUACCAGUUCUACCGGCUACGUCUAUCUCUUCUGGUACCGUCAGUUUCCCAACCAAGCCCUUCAGUACAUUCUCUUUAGAGGAGUGAAGCAGGCCAGAGGCCAGAGUGAUACCGCAGAUUUCGCCCAGCAGAGGUUUUCUUCCCAGGCUGAUGACAGCUCAACGGUUUUAACCAUCACAGCCCUGGAGCUGGCAGACACCGCGGUGUAUCUCUGCGCUCUGCAGCGAGCACAGUGACAGAGCCACAUGGCAGAGCUGUACAAAAACCCUUCCAGCCUUGCUGUAGCUGGGCUACACACACUGAGGCUGGAAAUAGGGGCCCUUGGCAGAUUUGUUAUUCUGUUAAGAAACUCAUAAUUAGGAAUAGUUUUGAUGGUGUCAAGGUAUUUCUUUCC